UACGUAGGGGACGAGCGUUGUCCGGAUUUAUUGGGCGUAAAGAGCGUGUAGGCGGCCAGGUAGGUCUGCUGUGAAAACUCGAGGCUCAACCUCGAGACGUCGGCGGAAACCAUCUGGCUAGAGUCCGGAAGAGGAGAGUGGAAUUCCUGGUGUAGCGGUGAAAUGCGCAGAUAUCAGGAAGAACACCCGUGGCGAAGGCGGCUCUCUGGGACGGUACUGACGCUGAGACGCGAAAGCGUGGGGAGCGAACAGG
rnacentral:rRNA from 1 species